GCCUGAGUGGCUCAGUUGGUUGAGCAUCUGACUUGGGCUCAGGUCAUGAUCUCAUGGUUUGUAGGUUCAAGCCCCAUGUCAGGCU
rnacentral:tRNA from 1 species